rnacentral:rRNA from 1 species
UACGGAGGGUGCAAGCGUUGUUCGGAAUCAUUGGGCGUAAAGCGCGUGUAGGCGGCUUGGCAAGUCGGUUGUGAAAGCCCGGGGCCCAACCCCGGAAUUGCAUCUGAAACUGCCUCGCUAGAGUCCCGGAGAGGAAGGCAGAAUUCCCGGUGUAGGGGUGAAAUUCGUAGAUAUUCGGAGGAACACCAGUGGCGAAGGCGGCUCACUGGCUCGGUACUGACGCUGAGGUGCGAAAGCGUGGGGAGCAAACAGG